AGGUCUGGGUGCCAAGUCCUGAGGGCUGGACAAAGGCAGAAAGAGCAGAUAGGAUCUGAGGUCCAGCUCCUGGGAACUUGAGGGUGCCCGCCCUGUGCUUAUACUGACUUCCUGCUCCAGGGAUCUCUGUCUGGCAAGUUGGGCGCGGCCACAGUCUGAGGGUAGGGUGGUGGGAGGGGGGCAUCCUCUCUCAACCCUCCUCAUGGACUCUGCACACCAGGCACAGAGCAGUGGGAAGCAACAGUGUGUAAUGGGGUUUAAAAACCCUAGGUUUCUGGUGUUUAGUGGGAAGGGGCCAAGGAUACCAAGUUGAUAAGUUAUUUAUUUAUGUAGAGUGACAGCUGUGACAGACACAGGAUGUGGGACAGACAGGACAAUAGGAAACACAACACUACACACACACACACACACACACACACACACACACACACCAAUUAAUUUAAAAGAAGAUGGAGUUGGCCUACCUUUAAUCCCAACACUCGGGAAGCAGGUAGGCAGAUCGCUAGGCGUUUGAGGCUAGACUGGUCUACAUAGGGAGUUCUAGGCCAGUCAGGGCCACAUGGUAAGAUCCUGUUUAAGAAAAGGAGAUGGAAAGAGACAUGUAGGGAUGAAACACAGGCUAUUACAAAUGAAUUCAAAUGCAGCUGUAAUUACAAGAUAUGAAAGGUCACAAAAGGUCAAGUACUCUGGGUCAGAAAAAAAGACUGCACACUUAAAUGACUUUAUGCAAUGUUUUAUUUUAUUUUAUGUUGCUUAAACAAGAUGACUGAGACCUGUUAAUUUAUACAGAAUAUUUUUUUUUUGCUCAAGUUUGAGAAGACCAAGAGUAUGACCUUAGAAUGUGCUUGGCUUCUAUCGAAGACCUCGUGUGGCUUCAGCUUGUGAUAGGAAGAGACAGGACAUGUGGGCUCAUGAAUUGAAAAAAAAAGUACAGGAGCAGCCUUGUUUCAUGGUGGUAACUAGCCCAGUCCGAGGGACCAAAAACUUGCUCCUUUGAAGCAACAUUAAGCCUUCACAAAGGCCCUGGGCUGGUCCCCUAAAGACUUCUGGCUAGGAGCCACCUCUCAGCCCUGCCAUGCAGAACCAUGAAGACUUAACAGGUGCACCACUGUGGACGGAUGUGUUCAAACCACAGUAUACAAAAGGCCCUUCUAAGGCAUCGACUACGGCCAAAGGACAGAAAGACACACUAUGAUGACUUAUAAAACAGUGGGAGAGAGAAAGAAAGAUGCCAUUAUGUGACAGGGCUCACGUGGAGGUUAUUUUACUGGAGAAAGGGGAAGGGAAGGAGGAAGACCAGCCUCUGGAGACAGGUGUGGCAGAAGAAGAAGAGGAACAGGCAGAGAGGCAGAGAGGGGAGAAAAGGCACCUCUUUUGAGGGGAUGUAGUUGUAGCCUCAUAGCUGAUGAUGUUGUCAGCACCCUGAGCAGGUCAGAGUACUGCCUGAGUGCUGGCAAGUGCACCUGCCAGGUGACAGGGGGCAGGCCAGCAUAAUGCCCGAAUACUAACACACACCACAAAAACAAAACAAAAGAAACAAUCAAAAAAAAAAAAAAACCCACCAGCCGUGUCAGAUCAAACAGCAGGCAGCAAGGAUGCUAACAGCAAAUCAAGUUCCUGGAAAUUCUAGAAGAGACAGGGAAGAGACACAGAUGAGAACACACAGAAAGAAAGGGGCUUUCUGUCUGUGGUAUCUGAGUUGUGCUUCCUCUGUUGCUCAGGCUGACUUUGAACUCUUGGGAUAAAGUGAUUCUCUUGCCUCUACCUGAGAAUUUGCUGAUACUGUAGGUGUUAUGGCCAAAGUCCAGAAAUAACACCCUGAGCCCGAAUCUGGUGCAAAAGCAUACAGCCUUUAUUGAGAGUUAACUCAGGUCCCUCCUUUCAUCCUGAGUGGCAGCAGCAGUCGCUGCAACAGCAAUAAUAGCAGCUACAGGAGCAGAGCAGGAAAGACCCCAGUAGUAAGGGGGUGGGGGUGUUAUAGAGUGGAAGGCUUGGGGAAUUCCAAGUCUAUAGGCUUGUGAUUGGCUGCCCACUCUGGGCGAAGGUCCAGAAAAGGUUAUGGUACAUCUGUAGGUUAGGGGUUACUACUUCCCUAAGCUUAAGGUCUAUGGGGUGUCUCUAGACUAGAGGUUACUAAUUCCCUACUCAGAGACUGGUCAGUUUUUCCUGCUCAGGGAUUGGUUUGUUUUGUGUCAGGAGCAGAGAUGGCUCUGAUUUCAAGGCCAGACUAUGUUUCUUUCUCUGGUCCAUUUUAGCUUUUAGGCUCCAAUUUUAGAGCCAGGGCGAAUUUCUUUAACAGGGUCUGAUUCUAGGGGCAAGGUAUGUGUUCUUUUGGCUCUGGCUUCGGACACAGGGUGUUUUUUCUCUGGCUUUGGGUUCAGGAAUAAAGUAUUUCUUUUGUUAGCUCAGGUCCCAAAUCCAGGGUGUGUUUCUUUCACUGGCCAGAGUGUUCAUGGAUUGUGCUUGGGCUAUGGAUCACAGAUCUGCUGGGGCCUGGGUCUCUCAGUAGGCACCUGCCAUUGGUCUAUUGAUUUAGGAGUCAGUGGGUAUUUUUACAUUAAUUUAUUCGUUUUAUUUUGUGUGUAAGUGUUUUGUCCACACGUGUGUAUGUGCACUAUGUAUGUACUUAGCACCGAGGCCGGAAGACAGCGGGCUGGGAUCCUCUGGAACUGGAGGAAAUGGACUGUUAUGGUUUUGGUCUCUUUAAGGGGUCUCCAGAUGAGGCAAAGCCCAUGGGACAGUCUCACUCAGUGAGGACCAGAGGACUUUGGGACAGAGCUGAAUACUGCUGGGGCCAUGUGGCCUACACACUCUCUUUCCUCUCGUAAUAUUGAUGAAUCUCUUGGUCGUUUUUAGUGUUACUUUGUCAGUCACAUGUGGGACAAAUGUGAUCAGUCUUUGAAAUCACAUUUUUUUUUCUAAAUUAUUUUCCCCUUAAAGUCUUUGGGAACUGAUGUUUCUCAGGUUUCUUGUCUGGGGAUGCCAGCUGUCACUCCAGACCCCGAGAGCUGUCUGAUUCAGGGCUGACAGGAUCGGAAGCAAUUUGCCCCUAUUUCUGUAAAUAUGCUUUGUUAAGAUUUGAAUGGGAUUGUUGUUCUUGAAACUGUGUGCCUAUGUUUAUCACCUUUUAGUUUUGUAAAGACAGGAUGUGCCUGCUCGAUAUUUGGCCAGACUAGCAGAAUGAUAAGUGUUGUUUUUGGUUUAAAAGUUGUUUUGAUGUUAAAGUUGGGAGAAAAAAACAUAUUUGACAUAUUUGUUUUUGAUGAAGGUUAAUGUUGGAGGGUAAGAAAAACAUAUCUCUUAGUAUGGAAAACAUGUGUGUUUUGAUAUGUAAAUUAAAGAUGCCUGGAGCUAUCUGA